GGGCGCGCGGGUGUCGGGGGGCCAGGUCCAGGGCCGGACGCGGCCAGCCAUUCAGGAAGGCAGCGCCGGAGAGCGGGAGGCAGCCGGCGAGGAAGAUCACACACUUUGCUCUUUUUGUUGUGCCGGUGGCGCCGGGCUCUCGCUGCCUUCUUCCUUCGGGAGGUGACGGAAGGGGGAGAAAAAUGCGGGAUAAUUCACGCCGGCGACGAAUUCACAGCGAAAUAGAAAAAAUAAAAGUCAGAAGAAAAUAAUUGCCAAAAACAGGAAAAAGAAAAAGCGAGAGAGACAUCCAAAGUUUAAGGACGACAAAACACACUCCUGGAAUUUGCAGCUAUUGCCACAAAUUCGAUCCGAAUCAAUGGUUCCUAUUCAUCCCAAAGAUGUUUUUAAAAAUAAACUUUCCGAUCAAUCAGA